UGUUUCUGUGUCAGAAGGGAAGGCUGGAAGAAAUUUAGGCAAAUUAAGCCCCAAAGCACACUAUAAUUUUCUAUUUCUGAACCGAUUUGUGAGAGAAUGGGUAACUGAAAUUAGCAAAGAAUCACCCCACACAAAGAUGGCGCGUGCAGAAUUUGUGAAAGCGAAAAAGAAGACGAAGGAGAAGCAACAGAGGGACGGAAUACUGCAGUGCUGGGGUGCAGCUGGAGUCCAGAAAUGAUUUUUUUCGAUGAAUUUAGGAUUUUGUCGCAGUAUACAUCUGCAGUCCCAGAAUCCUCUGUAUGGCAGAGACUCUUGUGUCAAGCCAAUGAAGGCCUGGAGAACACAUAACUCCAAGCACGAAAAGUGUUCCUGGCAUAGCUGAAGCGGCCAUGAACAUAACUACCACUGCUGCUGCCGCCGCCACCACCAUGGACAUCGCCUCCCACCACCUUCACUGCCCCCCCUCGUGCCGCAGUGCACACCAGAUGCAAGCUUUCCAUAGUGGCUCUCCGCCGAAUUUGCCCAGUGGGUUCCUAGAUGACUUCUGUGUGUAAGAAUAGCCAACCAUGUAGUCUGACAAGAGGUAUUUACAACUACUUAGUCUGUUCAGCUGGAAAGAAAUCAAAAGAUAACACUGAACCCUGACAUGAUGGAUUGCAAAUCAAAAGCCCCAAUCCAUAAACAGCCCACUUGAUGAACUGCUAAAUGAAAAGCUGAUGCUGAUUUUUGUCCAGUGUUUGCAGGUUGUUGAAAAGAAAUAUUUUUGAACGAGCCUUCUUAGACAGUCGGGAGUUAUUGUUUAUAAAUGCAUGGAAUAUUAUUUAGUCUUACCUUUCUG